AUUGAACGCUGGUGGCAUGCUUAACACAUGCAAGUCGAACGGUAACAUGAAGUAGCUUGCUACUUUGAUGACGAGUGGCGGACGGGUGAGUAAUGCGUAGAAACAUACCUUUCAAUGGGGGGACAACUCAGGGAAACUUGAGCUAAUACCGCAUAAUGCCUUCGGGUUAAAGGUGGCUUCGGCUGUCGUUGAAAGAUUGGUCUACGUUGGAUUAGCUAGUUGGUAAGGUAAAGGCUUACCAAGGCGACGAUCUAUAGCUGUUCUGAGAGGAAGAUCAGCCACACUGGGACUGAGACACGGCCCAGACUCCUACGGGAGGCAGCAGUGGGGAAUAUUGGACAAUGGGGGCAACCCUGAUCCAGCAAUGCCACGUGUGUGAAGGAGGCCUGAGGGUUGUAAAGCACUUUUAUCAGUGAGGAAGUUGUUUAGGUUAAGAGCUAGAGCAAUUGACGUUAGCUGAAGAAAAAGCACCGGCUAACUCUGUG
rnacentral:rRNA from 1 species